rnacentral:rRNA from 1 species
AACGAACGCUGGCGGCAUGCCUAACACAUGCAAGUCGAACGAGAUCCUUCGGGGUCUAGUGGCGCACGGGUGCGUAACGCGUGGGAAUCUGCCCUUAGGUUCGGAAUAACAGUUAGAAAUGACUGCUAAUACCGGAUGAUGACGUUAAGUCCAAAGAUUUAUCGCCUCAGGAUGAGCCCGCGUAGGAUUAGCUAGUUGGUGUGGUAAAGGCGCACCAAGGCGACGAUCCUUAGCUGGUCUGAGAGGAUGAUCAGCCACACUGGGACUGAGACACGGCCCAGACUCCUACGGGAGGCAGCAGUGGGGAAUAUUGGACAAUGGGCGCAAGCCUGAUCCAGCAAUGCCGCGUGAGUGAUGAAGGCCUUAGGGUUGUAAAGCUCUUUUACCCGGGAUGAUAAUGACAGUACCGGGAGAAUAAGCCCCGGCUAACUCCGUG